rnacentral:tRNA from 1 species
GGCCGCCUGGCUAAAUUGGAUAGAGCACCUGACUACGGAUCAGGAGGUUGCAGGUUCGAGUCCUGCGGUGGUCG